CCUACGGGGGGCAGCAGUGAGGAAUAUUGGUCAAUGGACGAGAGUCUGAACCAGCCAAGUAGCGUGAAGGAUGACUGCCCUAUGGGUUGUAAACUUCUUUUAUAUGGGAAUAAAACGUUCCACGUGUGGGAUUUUGUAUGUACCAUAUGAAUAAGGAUCGGCUAACUCCGCGCCAGCAGCCGCGGUAAUACGGAGGAUCCGAGCGUUAUCCGGAUUUAUUGGGUUUAAAGGGAGCGUAGGUGGAUUGUUAAGUCAGUUGUGAAAGUUUGCGGCUCAACCGUAAAAUUGCAGUUGAAACUGGCAGUCUUGAGUACAGUAGAGGUGGGCGGAAUUCGUGGUGUAGCGGUGAAAUGCUUAGAUAUCACGAAGAACUCCGAUUGCGAAGGCAGUUCACUGGACUGCAACUGACACUGAGGCUCGAAAGUGUGGGUAUCAAACAGGAUUAGAUACCCUAGUAGUC
rnacentral:rRNA from 1 species